GUGGGGAAUAUUGCACAAUGGGCGAAAGCCUGAUGCAGCAACGCCGCGUGAGGGACGACGGCCUUCGGGUUGUAAACCUCUUUUAGUAGGGAAGAAGCGAAAGUGACGGUACCUGCAGAAAAAGCACCGGCUAACUACGUGCCAGCAGCCGCGGUAAUACGUAGGGUGCAAGCGUUAUCCGGAAUUAUUGGGCGUAAAGAGCUCGUAGGCGGUCUGUCGCGUCUGCUGUGAAAACUGGAGGCUCAACCUCCAGCAUGCAGUGGGUACGGGCAGACUAGAGUGCGGUAGGGGAGAUUGGAAUUCCUGGUGUAGCGGUGGAAUGCGCAGAUAUCAGGAGGAACACCGAUGGCGAAGGCAGAUCUCUGGGCCGUAACUGACGCUGAGGAGCGAAAGCGUGGGGAGCGAACAGGAUUAGAUACCCGUGUAGUCC
rnacentral:rRNA from 1 species